UACGUAGGGUCCGAGCGUUGUCCGGAAUUAUUGGGCGUAAAGGCUCGUAGGCGGUCUGUUGCGUCGGGAGUGAAACUUACAGCUUAACUGUGAGCGUGCUUUCGAUACGGGCAGACUUGAGGCAUUCAGGGGAGAACGGAAUUCCUGGUGUAGCGGUGAAAUGCGCAGAUAUCAGGAGGAACACCGGUGGCGAAGGCGGUCUCUGGCCGUGAUACUGACGCUGAGGAGCGAAGCGUGGGAGCGAACAGG
rnacentral:rRNA from 1 species